ACUUUCAACAACGGAUCUCUUGGCUCUCGCAUCGAUGAAGAACGCAGCGAAUUGCGAUAAGUAAUUGAAUUGCAGAAUUACGUGAAUCACGAAUCUUUGAACGCAUAUUGCACUCUCUGGUAAUCCGGGGAGUAUGCCUGUUUGAGGGUCA
rnacentral:rRNA from 1 species